UUAUCUCUUAUGAAAUUGUUAAUCUCACUCUAACAUAUCAACUGUUAGGUCAUUCACCCCCACGACGAUUAAUUUUGCGUUUAACUUUACUCUGAACGAACUUUUCCUUCUGGUGACUUUUUUUUUCUUUAUUAAUCCACCCUCGUAGAGGGGGUAUAAACAAACAUACAUCAGUGAUUCGACAUAACUCAUGACAAUGUCGAUACAAAUUUGGAUAAGAAGAAAAAAAUAGUCUAACUGCAAGUUUUGAUAAAGAUAUAAAGGUGAAGCUGUGAUGUCACCAUGGAUGUAUCAAAGAUGAAAGUUGAACCCUUUUCUGAAAAUGAACAGGAUGAUUUGGUGGAUAUCAAAUUGAUGAAAAAUGAAGAUGAAACUCCUACAUUUUCUAGUAUAGAAGCUGAUUCCUUACAACAAAGAUCUUUACAUACCAUUUUGAAGUUUGGUGUAGUGAAAGAGGAACAAGAAGAGAACUGUGAUGAAGGAACAGAAAAA
rnacentral:lncRNA from 1 species